rnacentral:tRNA from 1 species
GGGGUCGUGGUCUAGCUUGGUUAGGAUCCCAGCCUGGGGCGCUGGAGGUCCGGGGUUCAAAUCCCCGCGACCCCACCA